CAAAUCUUCCACCACAAUUUGGUGUCAGAAGUGGGAUCGUUUGAAGCUCCGUCGGGACUCCGAGGACGUCCGGGAAGGGGCCACUUCAGGAUCCACCAAACGUGAUUCUGCCCUAUACCUCAUCACACUCAGAGAGAGGGGACCGGCGACCAAAAGAGACCUGAUUGGCUUCAACACGAUCCGAUGAGGAAGAUUUUCACACGAAUCGGUCUCACAGGGGCUGGCGGCCCUCUCCUCAACACAUGCCCACCACCGUACCCUGCUUCAUCUGCGAACCAGCAACCUCCGUCUGCAGGAGCACAUAUCAAAGUUCACUACACCCGGCAGAGGGAGGAAAAGGAAGCGGCAGUGAAAGCAGCACAGGAACGACUCCUCGGCGAAGAGGAGGAAAAGAGACAGGCUGCUCUCCCCACUCGCUCUCGCUCUCCAGGAGCAACCGGAGGGGACACUUCUGCCAUCAACAAACUGAUUGCAGAGCAACCAUCUACAUCAGAUGUUUUUUCCCUCUCUUUCGACCCAGAGGGAGUUCCCCCGGAUGCAAAAUCUGUGCUCCAAACCCCAAUGAUUCAAGUACCAGGACACUCAGGUCCCAUACUUGUUUUCCGGCCUUGGACUGAUACGGACAUUAGAGCUGCAAUGGCUCAUCUCCCGCCGAUACAGCACUCGGGAAGACUGUUUGCUGAAGCAUUCAUGGACUUCUGUAAGCAAUUCCUGCCCAACUUUGCUGAAAUUCGACGUGUUCUAAUGAGUCACGUGGGUCCGACUCACUACCAAAAGCUCAACCAGCUGGUUGCAGGAGACACCAGUGCGGCCGAUGUUGAAUGGAGUUCAAAUCAAAAAAAGCCGUACAGAGACGCACUCACGGCUUUGAGCGACGGCAUAAAGACAUUGUUCCUGACAAAGUGGAUAUGACUCCC
ensembl:lncRNA